rnacentral:rRNA from 1 species
UCUAAGUUUGAUGGCGACCGGCGCACGGGUGAGUAACACGUAUCCAACCUGCCGAUGAUUCGGGGAUAGCCUUUCGAAAGAAAGAUUAAUACCCGAUGGCAUAGUUCUUCCGCAUGGUGGAACUAUUAAAGAAUUUCGGUCAUCGAUGGGGAUGCGUUCCAUUAGGUUGUUGGCGGGGUAACGGCCCACCAAGCCUUCGAUGGAUAGGGGUUCUGAGAGGAAGGUCCCCCACAUUGGAACUGAGACACGGUCCAAACUCCUACGGGAGGCAGCAUG